GAUGAAGAACGUAGCGAAAUGCGAUACGUAAUGUGAAUUGCAAAUUCAGUGAAUCAUCGAAUCUUUGAACGCACAUUGCGCCCUUUGGUAUUCCUUAGGGCAUGCCUGUUCGAGCGUCAUUUAAACCUUCAAGCUCAGCUUGGUGUUGGGUGACUGUCCGCUUCACCGCGGACUCGCCUCAAAAUUAUUGGCGGCCGGUACAUUGGCUUCGAGCGCAGCAGAAACGCGAACUCGGGCCCGUCGUAUUGGCUCCCAGAAGCUAUCUUCACAAUUUUGACCUCGGAUCAGGUAGGGAUACCCGCUGAACUUAAGCAUAUCAAUAAGCGGAGGA
rnacentral:misc_RNA from 1 species